rnacentral:misc_RNA from 1 species
UGAUCCUCCACAACAGAUGGGAGAUUCUACUACUGAAGUAACAGAUGAAAAUCGAGAUGCUGCUCAAAUAUCAAAAGCGAAAGCACUGGAUGCAAUAUCUGAAGGCAAGCUUGAUGAAGCCAUAAAUCAUUUAACUGAAGCUAUUUUGUUGAAUCCAACUUCUGCAAUAUUAUACGCAACAAGAGCUAAUGUCUUCAUUAAGCUGAAAAAGCCCAAUGCUGCAAUCCGUGAUGCUGAUGCUGCUUUAAAGGUCAACCCUGACUCAGCAAAAGGAUACAAAGUGAGGGGUAUGGCUCGAGCAAUGUUGGGCUUAUGGAAAGAGGCAGCUAGCGAUCUUCGUGUGGCAUCCAUGAUAGAUUUUGACGAAGAGAUUGCCGAGAUACUUAAAAAGGUUGAACCUAAUGCUCACAAAAUUGAAGAGCACUGCCGGAAGUAUCAACGGCUGCGAGAAGACAAGAGGUUGAGAAAAAUUGAGCGUGACAGUCAGCAGCGUCAGGCCGAGCCAAAGGCAGCUAAUGAAAAGAGUAAAAAGAAAGAACAGCAAUCUGAACAUGAAGCUUCUGAUCCUGACUCUGCUUCUGAUUUGAAUUAUGGAAAAAUUGUUGGUAUCCAUUCUGUGAGCGAACUAGAGACGAAGUUAAAUGCUGUUUCAAAAGGAUCACGUCUAGCUAUCCUUUACUUCACUGCAACAUGGUGUGGACCAUGUCGUUUUAUUUCUCCAUUUUAUACAAGCCUACCCGAAAAAUAUCCAAAAGUUGCAUUUUUGAAGGCUGAUAUCGAUGAGGCUAGAGACGUGGCUUCGAGAUGGAACGUCAGUAGUGUUCCAGCUUUCUUUUUCAUAAAAAAUGGCAAGGAGGUCGACAAGGUUGUAGGUGCUGACAAGAAUUCACUGGAAAAGAAGAUCGCCCAGCAUGCAGGCUAACUUUGGAAAUAUUAUGUUGUAUUGUGAAUUAAAUGCCUUUGCUUUGUUGAAAUAAAAGGCAUAUUUAUUUAUUUUAACUUUCUUUCAGUGGAGAAGUGUUUUCAAG